CCUACGGGAGGCAGCAGUGGGGAAUAUUGGACAAUGGGCGAAAGCCUGAUCCAGCAAUGCCGCGUGUGUGAAGAAGGUCUUCGGAUUGUAAAGCACUUUCGACGGGGACGAUGAUGACGGUACCCGUAGAAGAAGCCCCGGCUAACUUCGUGCCAGCAGCCGCGGUAAU
rnacentral:rRNA from 1 species